GAUGAACGCUGACAGAAUGCUUAACACAUGCAAGUCAACUUGAAUUUGGGUUUUUAACUUAGGUUUGGGUGGCGGACGGGUGAGUAACGCGUAAAGAACUUGCCUCACAGCUAGGGACAACAUUUGGAAACGAAUGCUAAUACCUAAUAUUAUGAUAAUAGGGCAUCCUAUAAUUAUGAAAGCUAUAAGCGCUGUGAGAGAGCUUUGCGUCCCAUUAGCUAGUUGGAGAGGUAACGGCUCACCAAGGCGAUGAUGGGUAGCCGGCCUGAGAGGGUGAUCGGCCACAAGGGGACUGAGACACGGCCCUUACUCCUACGGGAGGCAGCAGUGGGGAAUAUUGGACAAUGGACCAAGAGUCUGAUCCAGCAAUUCUGUGUGCACGAUGAAGUUUUUCGGAAUGUAAAGUGCUUUCAGUUGGGAAGAAAUAAAUGACGGUACCAACAGAAGAAGUGACGGCUAAAUACGUGCCAGCAGCCGCGGUAAUACGUAUGUCACGAGCGUUAUCCGGAUUUAUUGGGCGUAAAGCGCGUCUAGGUGGUUAUGUAAGUCUGAUGUGAAAAUGCAGGGCUCAACUCUGUAUUGCGUUGGAAACUGUAUAACUAGAGUACUGGAGAGGUAAGCGGAACUACAAGUGUAGAGGUGAAAUUCGUAGAUAUUUGUAGGAAUGCCGAUGGGGAAGCCAGCUUACUGGACAGAUACUGACGCUGAAGCGCGAAAGCGUGGGUAGCAAACAGG
rnacentral:rRNA from 1 species